rnacentral:rRNA from 1 species
GACGAACGCUGGCGGCGUGCCUAAUACAUGCAAGUAGAACGCUGAAGAGAGGAGCUUGCUCUUCUUGGAUGAGUUGCGAACGGGUGAGUAACGCGUAGGUAACCUGCCUUGUAGCGGGGGAUAACUAUUGGAAACGAUAGCUAAUACCGCAUAACAAUGGAUGACACAUGUCAUUUAUUUGAAAGGGGCAAUUGCUCCACUACAAGAUGGACUUGCGUUGUAUUAGCUAGUAGGUGAGGUAACGGCGCACCUAGGCGACGAUACAUAGCCGACCUGAGAGGGUGAGCGGCCACACUGGGACUGAGACACGGCCCAGACGCCUACGGGAGGCAGCAGGAGGGAAUCUUCGGGAAUGGGGGCAACCCUGACCGAGCAACGCCGCGUGAGGGAAGAAGGUUUUCGGAUCGUAAAGCUCUGUUGUAAGUCAAGAACGAGUGUGAGAGUGGAAAGUUCACACUGUGACGGUAGCUGACCAGAAAGGGACGGCUAACUACGUG